rnacentral:rRNA from 1 species
GACGAACGCUGGCGGCGUGCCUAAUACAUGCAAGUAGGACGCAGUUGCGAACGGGUGAGUAACGCGUAGGUAACUACCUAUUAGAGGGGGAUAACUAUUGGAAACAAUAGCUAAUACCGCAUACUAGUAGAUGGACCUGCGUUGUAUUGGCAAGGAGGUCGGGUAAUGGCCUACCUAGGUCACGAUACAUAGCCGACCUGAAGUGGUGAUCGGCCAACACGUGACUGGAAAACGGCCCAGAAUCCUACGGGAGGCAUGAAUAGGGAAUCUUCGUCAAUGGGGGGAACCCUGACCGAGCAACGCCGCGUGAGUGAAGAAGGUUUUCGGAGCGUAAAGCUCUGUUGUGAAGGAAGCGGUACUUAACCAGAAAGGGACGGCUAACUACGUGCCAGCAGCCGCGGUAAUAC